GACGAACGCUGGCGGCGUGCCUAAUACAUGCAAGUAGAGCGCUGAAGGAGGAGCUUGCUUCUCUGGAUGAGUUGCGAACGGGUGAGUAACGCGUAGGUAACCUGCCUGGUAGCGGGGGAUAACUAUUGGAAACGAUAGCUAAUACCGCAUAAGAGUAGAUGUUGCAUGACAUUUGCUUAAAAGGUGCAAUUGCAUCACUACCAGAUGGACCUGCGUUGUAUUAGCUAGUUGGUGGGGUAACGGCUCACCAAGGCGACGAUACAUAGCCGACCUGAGAGGGUGAUCGGCCACACUGGGACUGAGACACGGCCCAGACUCCUACGGGAGGCAGCAGUAGGGAAUCUUCGGCAAUGGACGGAAGUCUGACCGAGCAACGCCGCGUGAGUGAAGAAGGUUUUCGGAUCGUAAAGCUCUGUUGUAAGAGAAGAACGAGUGUGAGAGUGGAAAGUUCACACUGUGACGGUAUCUUACCAGAAAGGGACGGCUAACUACGUG
rnacentral:rRNA from 1 species